rnacentral:rRNA from 1 species
UGGGGAAUAUUGCACAAUGGGGGAAACCCUGAUGCAGCGACGCCGCGUGAGUGAAGAAGUAUUUCGGUAUGUAAAGCUCUAUCAGCAGGGAAGAAGAAGACGGUACCUGACUAAGAAGCCCCGGCUAACUACGUGCC